CCUACGGGAGGCAGCAGUGAGGAAUAUUGGUCAAUGGACGAGAGUCUGAACCAGCCAAGCAGCGUGAAGGAUGACUGCCCUAUGGGUUGUAAACUUCUUUUAUGAAGGAAUAAAAUGAGGCUCGCGUGCCUUUCUGCAUGUACUUUAUGAAUAAGGAUCGGCUAACUCCGUGCCAGCAGCCGCGGUAAUACGGAGGAUCCGAGCGUUAUCCGGCUUUAUUGGGUUUAAAGGGAGCGUAGGUGGGCUGUUAAGUCAGGUGUGAAAGGUUGCGGCUCAACCCUCAAAUUGCCUUUGAUACUGGCUGUCUUGAGUAGUGUAGAGGUAGGCGGAAUGCGUGGUGUAGCGGUGAAAUGCUUAGAUAUUGCGAAGAACCCCGAUUGCGAAGGCAGCUUACUGGACAGUAACUGACGCUGAGGCACGAAAGCGUGGGGAUCAAACAGGAUUAGAUACCCGGGUAGUC
rnacentral:rRNA from 1 species